AGGGAAGUCUGGGCAUCCCUGCUUAGACUGCUGCCCCCGCGACCCGGCCCCGGAUAAGCGGAAGAUGAUGCUAUGCUAUGCUAUGCUAGGCUCUGCUUACCUUUAUCAUGUGCCGGCUCAGAACCUGUGAAUCUCGUAUAGGUUGUCUGGACCGGGUCGAAUUCCUUCUCCUUUAUUCCAUCUCGGACGAGCCCACAAAAUUGUUGAAGUCUAACACUUCCCCGAGUUUGAUGGAAAGGAGAAUAACACACCAGGAGUCAGGUCAAUUACCUUACCGUAUAUUCCAUUUAUUACAGAAGCUUCUGGAGUGUCGCCGCACAAUGUCUGAAUAUUAACAGUCACAUUAGCAUUAUUUAUACUUCAAACACGCCUAAAAGUGGGGGGUUGAGGUAACCAAGCAUGUGUGCCAUUGGUCCAGUUUAUGUUCUAUACCUUAUAUGUGUAAAUGCAGCACAAACGUCAUCUUUGCUCUUUGUGGUUUCAGUCUUGAAUUCUUAAUUCAGCCCUGCCCAGAUGUGUGUGUGUGUUGUUAAUCUGUCCCUUCUGUUUCCUGUAGUCUGACACACAAGCUCAAUGUGCUCUUGUUCCCCAGCAACAGCCUACAUAAGAUUUCCUGUUUUCUACUUGCAACUUUAAGUUCCAGCUAUGCUACAGACAUUUAACAUUUUGCUUCAAUGCUCACAACAGUUUGACAGCUAAUACACUCAAUGUAUCCACGGGUUGCUUACUAUUUUUGUUUGUUCGUUUAUCCUCAAGUUUGGAUGUUUUGUGCUUCUUCGCAUAUCAACAGUUGAACAGGUGUAUGGUAACAUUGUUACCUAAUUUGUCUAAAUCGUGUUUCUUAGUGUAUCAACAAGCUAGAAUUUUAUAAUAUGUGCUUACUCCUUGUAAUUUUUAUCAACUAAUAUGUAACGUUAGCUAAAUCGUGUUUCUUUGUGUAACGUUAUCCACAUCAUGUGGAUACGUUACUCUUGGCAGUAAAUUUAGAUAGACUAGCUAAACCUGGACUUGUUGCAAUUCCGUUACUGAGGCGUCUUUGUGAAUCCCCAUUGUUCUUAGCUAGCCUGUAUGUGUCUUAUGCUGCUGUUUUUUUAAACCACUUUUAUAAACAAUGCUUUCAGGUGAUUACGUUUUCUGUAGUUUUGUUCCCGGAGGAGGAUGACUGUGUGGCAGUAGUUCCAUGCUUGUGGCUCAAAGUAGGACUUUGCUACUGGCCACCAAACAGCAUCACCAACAGGAAGUCCUUCAGGUGGUGAACAAGUUCUGGCAAACUUGUUGUGGCCGAAGACACCUGGGAGGCUGUCCCUUGUGGAAUCUGAGCAUUAACAAUUACAAUAUGAAUGUACGUUUCAUUGGAAGGGAAUGUGCCUAGAUAAUGAGAACAACAGAAACCUCUCUGUUUAGAUUAUCUCUCAGUAGGUAGCGCUCUAAUGACAGGAAUGUUUACGAUGGCCAUAUGGCAUGGGGGUUGACUUCUAAAAAGUUAGAAACGCCCUUAAUGUAUAGGCUAGCUGGUAACCAACAUUACAGUGAGAAGAGAUUGACUGAGAUGAGAUUGAGGUUGUGUAAGGAAGACCAGGUCCGUAACCUCAUGAACAAGACUUUCUAAUGCUGCAAUAAAUAAUAUACUUUCUCUCUCCCUUGACAAACGGGUAUGCUAAUUAUUACAACCACUAUACGAAACGGCCGAUUUCUAACACUUAUAAGCUCAUCAAGCAUGCAGGUGAAUUUGAAAACAUUAUAACAAUUUGAAACGUGGAAUGAAAAUAUGUUUUGCAGGGUAAAUACUUACAAAACUUUAACUUUUCCUAGACACGUGAGAGACCGGGCGUGUGUAUCGCCAAAGGAGUGAAAAUCGUUCCAGCGUGGGCCCCUACCACCCCAAGGACGCACAUCUACAACACAACACCCUGUGGAUUGUAGCCCUGGAGGUAUGCGAAUUACAUGUUAAUCUCGUAAUUGCUGCAAUGUUUACUUGGUUUCACCAUAUUUACCUGUUCACCAACUUUUAUGUUUAUUUUUAGGAUGGAGCAAGCACAGUACUCCAAGGCACCAGAGAGGUACUCCACGCCAUCAUGUAGAGGACGGCUACAUAGGUAAGUGUGGGUUCAUUCACUUAACCCAGAUGCUGAACUUGUUAUUAAAGCAUGUUGCUUCCAAUUUUAUUUUUCAAUUUCAAUUUAUUUUUAAGAGCAAGAAGGCAGAAGUAGGGGGAAGUUUUAGCUCUGCACAUGAAGGUUAGAAUGAACAUUUUGGCGGACACUGCAAUUUGAGUUCUCAUUGUUAAAUAACCAGAUAUUAAGGACUGAAUAAUUAACUGUCUGUCUUUACUUUCAGAACAUUUGGAGAAGAUCAAGUGGCUGACUGAAGAGAAGGUCGAGCUGGCUCUACAAUCUGGUAAAAACAAGACUAUAGUUACGCUAGCAUCUUGUCUUAAUGAAACUGCAUUUGUCUGAAUGUGUGCCCUUUACUAAAAUGCAAUACUGUAAAGCCUUUCUGAAAUUACAUGUAUAUAGUAGUUUUGUUUAUUUCACAAUUAAGCUAUUGACAUUUCAUUGUGCUUUUUAGCUUCUGAUAAACGUCUGACUGAAAAGAAUGUCAAGCCGAGGGUACAGCUGGCUCUACAAUCAUGAGCCAUAAUGAAGAAUCCUUCAAACCACUGAUGCCACUGAUGAGGCUGUCCACAACCAGGUCCUCAGGUACCAGAAAGGGGCAGCUGACCAUGCAAGUGGGAGAUGUCGCAGCGGUACAAG
ensembl:lncRNA